rnacentral:rRNA from 1 species
AUUGAACGCUGGCGGCAUGCCUUACACAUGCAAGUCGAACGGCAGCACGGACUUCGGUCUGGUGGCGAGUGGCGAACGGGUGAGUAAUGUAUCGGAACGUGCCUAGUAGUGGGGGAUAACUAGUCGAAAGAUUAGCUAAUACCGCAUACGACCUACGGGUGAAAGUGGGGGAUCGCAAGACAUCAUGCUAUUAGAGCGGCCGAUAUCAGAUUAGCUAGUUGGUAGGGUAAAGGCCCACCAAGGCAACGAUCUGUAGCUGGUCUGAGAGGACGACCAGCCACACGGGGACUGAGACACGGCCCAGACUCCUACGGGAGGCAGCAGUGGGGAAUGUUGGACAAUGGGGGCAACCCUGCUCCAGCAAUGCCGCGUGUGUGAAGAAGGCCUUCGGGUUGUAAAGCACUUUUGUCAGAGAAGAAAACUGUUGCGCUAAUAUCGCGACGGGAUGACGGUAUCUGAAGAAUAAGGACCGGCUAACUACGUGCCAGCCGCCGCAGUAA